AGUACAGCAGGCUGAAGGCGGGCCGUUGUGAAGGGCAGGGCCAACGCGCGACGCCAGCGCCGGCUGCGGCCGCGCCGCGAAGCACUACUGUGCCCGCACUUGCCGCGGCCCGCGACCGCCUCGCGCGAGGCUAAUAACCGUCCGCGAGAGGGACCAGGCUGCGCCGUUCCGCUCGCUUCCCGGACACUACGAAAUUAGUCUUGCAUUACCAGCUGCACCUGUGACAUCAGCAUCAGCAGGCCCCAACCUGUCCUGAUCCACACAUGUGAAUGCCUCGGACUCGUCCGCGGAGGAUCCUGCAGUGCAGCUUCUCGGAAUGCUGGAGCAGGAUAGCGAUGUGUUAACGUCAGUGCCAGAGGCUGUACUUGACGGGGCUUCACAGUACUGGGUUCCUUCAUACUCACCAUCCACUGAUCAUCUCACAAGAGACGUGCCGCCAUCAGUGCAAGAACAACUGGCUAACCACACUGGUGUGGAUGUCAUAGAUGAGAAGAUACCGACUGCCAGUGCACCUCAACCUUUACUAUUCGCCUCAAGCUAUGUGUUAACAGUUAGUGAUUCAAAGGGUAUCCAUGUAGGACUUGAAGUUUCAUAAUGUGGUAGCCUGUCAACUGUGUUAGUGCUAGAAAUUGUGCUUAAAAAUAUUCAAGUGAAAUUUUCUGACUACGAGUGGGAUGAACUGUGUCGUUUAAAAACACACAUCAAGAAUCAUAUGACUACCGGAUAUUUGUUGUCUCACUCAUACCAGGACAUGUACUGCCGCAGUCAGGCUGUGAGUAUUCUAUCAAUGUAUGAUAAUGCUACACUAAAAGUUAAAAGUGCUUACGGUUAUAGUAUUUUCAUGCAGCACCCCACUGUUGAUAACUAGUUCAAUUGAGAAAUGGCUGCAACAAGUAUGGUAGAUGGUGCCCAUAUGUUUAAUGUGACAUCAUUAACUGGCUUCACACAUGUAGCAUCCACAUAGAUAAUAUAGAACAUUGUUUUAGUAUGUGUAUAAAACCAGUGCCCAAGUCUUAUGCUAUUCCUCAAAUAAGUGUUGAAAAUGUCGAACUCAAAUUUAUUGAUUGAAUACCAGACUAUUGCAAUUCACCGAUAACAUUACGAGAUAUAUGUGCUGAAUUUUAAGCGUACUAGAAGCAGCUAUUUUCCAAGUAAUGUACUUCUGCUGCACCAUUUAAAAAAGAAUCAAGCAAUUUUUUCUCAUGCUGAUCAUAUUUGUAAAUCAUUUUAUAAAUAAAUAUAUUUAUAAUCUUAAAA